UACGCAGGGGGCGAGCGUUGUUCGGAAUUACUGGGCGUAAAGGGCGCGCAGGCGGCCGCUCAAGUCAGGCGUGAAAGCCCCGGGCUUAACCUGGGAAUUGCGCUUGGGACUGAGGGGCUAGAGUUCGGGAGAGGAGAGUGGAAUUCCCAGUGUAGAGGUGAAAUUCGUAGAUAUUGGGAAGAACACCGGUGGCGAAGGCGGCUCUCUGGACCGAGACUGACGCUGAGGCGCGAAAGCGUGGGGAGCAAACAGG
rnacentral:rRNA from 1 species